rnacentral:tRNA from 1 species
GCCUGGGUAGCUCAGUUCCUUGAGCUCCUGACUUCAGCUCAGGUCAUGAUGUCAUGGUUUGUGAGUUCGAGCCCCAUUUUGGGCU